GAUGAACGCUGGCGGCGUGCCUAAUACAUGCAAGUCGAGCGAACGGACGAGAAGCUUGCUUCUCUGAUGUUAGCGGCGGACGGGUGAGUAACACGUGGAUAACCUACCUAUAAGACUGGGAUAACUUCGGGAAACCGUAGCUAAUACCGGAUAAUAUUUUGAACCGCAUGGUUCAAAAGUGAAAGACGGUCUUGCUGUCACUUAUGGAUGGAUCCGCGCUGCAUUAGCUAGUUGGUAAGGUAACGGCUUACCAAGGCAACGACGCAUAGCCGACCUGAGAGGGUGAUCGGCCACACUGGAACUGAGACACGGUCCAGACUCCUACGGGAGGCAGCAGUAGGGAAUCUUCCGCAAUGGGCGAAAGCCUGACGGAGCAACGCCGCGUGAGUGAUGAAGGUCUUCGGAUCGUAAAACUCUGUUAUUAGGGAAGAACAUAUGUGUAAGUAACUGUGCACAUCUUGACGGUACCUAAUCAGAAAGCCACGGCUAACUACGUG
rnacentral:rRNA from 1 species